UUAAGCGACUAAGCGUACACGGUGGAUGCCCUGGCAGUCAGAGGCGAUGAAGGACGUGCUAAUCUGCGAUAAGCGUCGGUGAGGUGAUAUGAACCGUUAUAACCGGCGAUUUCCGAAUGGGGAAACCCAGUGUGUUUCGACACACUAUCAUUAACUGAAUCCAUAGGUUAAUGAGGCGAACCGGGGGAACUGAAACAUCUAAGUACCCGAGGAAAAGAAAUCAACCGAGAUUCCCCCAGUAGCGGCGAGCGAACGGGGAGGAGCCCAGAGCCUGAAUCAGUGUGUGUGUUAGUGGAAGCGUCUGGAAAGGCGCGCGAUACAGGGUGACAGCCCCGUACACAAAAAUGCACAUAUUGUGAGCUCGAUGAGUAGGGCGGGACACGUGGUAUCCUGUCUGAAUAUGGGGGGACCAUCCUCCAAGGCUAAAUACUCCUGACUGACCGAUAGUGAACCAGUACCGUGAGGGAAAGGCGAAAAGAACCCCGGCGAGGGGAGUGAAAAAGAACCUGAAACCGUGUACGUACAAGCAGUGGGAGCCUCUUAAUGGGGUGACUGCGUACCUUUUGUAUAAUGGGUCAGCGACUUAUAUUCUGUAGCAAGGUUAACCGAAUAGGGGAGCCGAAGGGAAACCGAGUCUUAACUGGGCGUUAAGUUGCAGGGUAUAGACCCGAAACCCGGUGAUCUAGCCAUGGGCAGGUUGAAGGUUGGGUAACACUAACUGGAGGACCGAACCGACUAAUGUUGAAAAAUUAGCGGAUGACUUGUGGCUGGGGGUGAAAGGCCAAUCAAACCGGGAGAUAGCUGGUUCUCCCCGAAAGCUAUUUAGGUAGCGCCUCGUGAAUUCAUCUCCGGGGGUAGAGCACUGUUUCGGCAAGGGGGUCAUCCCGACUUACCAACCCGAUGCAAACUGCGAAUACCGGAGAAUGUUAUCACGGGAGACACACGGCGGGUGCUAACGUCCGUCGUGAAGAGGGAAACAACCCAGACCGCCAGCUAAGGUCCCAAAGUCAUGGUUAAGUGGGAAACGAUGUGGGAAGGCCCAGACAGCCAGGAUGUUGGCUUAGAAGCAGCCAUCAUUUAAAGAAAGCGUAAUAGCUCACUGGUCGAGUCGGCCUGCGCGGAAGAUGUAACGGGGCUAAACCAUGCACCGAAGCUGCGGCAGCGACACUAUGUGUUGUUGGGUAGGGGAGCGUUCUGUAAGCCUGUGAAGGUGGCCUGUGAGGGUUGCUGGAGGUAUCAGAAGUGCGAAUGCUGACAUAAGUAACGAUAAAGCGGGUGAAAAGCCCGCUCGCCGGAAGACCAAGGGUUCCUGUCCAACGUUAAUCGGGGCAGGGUGAGUCGACCCCUAAGGCGAGGCCGAAAGGCGUAGUCGAUGGGAAACAGGUUAAUAUUCCUGUACUUGGUGUUACUGCGAAGGGGGGACGGAGAAGGCUAUGUUGGCCGGGCGACGGUUGUCCCGGUUUAAGCGUGUAGGCUGGUUUUCCAGGCAAAUCCGGAAAAUCAAGGCUGAGGCGUGAUGACGAGGCACUACGGUGCUGAAGCGACAAAUGCCCUGCUUCCAGGAAAAGCCUCUAAGCAUCAGGUAACAUCAAAUCGUACCCCAAACCGACACAGGUGGUCAGGUAGAGAAUACCAAGGCGCUUGAGAGAACUCGGGUGAAGGAACUAGGCAAAAUGGUGCCGUAACUUCGGGAGAAGGCACGCUGAUAUGUAGGUGAAGCGACUUGCUCGUGGAGCUGAAAUCAGUCGAAGAUACCAGCUGGCUGCAACUGUUUAUUAAAAACACAGCACUGUGCAAACACGAAAGUGGACGUAUACGGUGUGACGCCUGCCCGGUGCCGGAAGGUUAAUUGAUGGGGUUAGCGGUAACGCGAAGCUCUUGAUCGAAGCCCCGGUAAACGGCGGCCGUAACUAUAACGGUCCUAAGGUAGCGAAAUUCCUUGUCGGGUAAGUUCCGACCUGCACGAAUGGCGUAAUGAUGGCCAGGCUGUCUCCACCCGAGACUCAGUGAAAUUGAACUCGCUGUGAAGAUGCAGUGUACCCGCGGCAAGACGGAAAGACCCCGUGAACCUUUACUAUAGCUUGACACUGAACAUUGAGCCUUGAUGUGUAGGAUAGGUGGGAGGCUUUGAAGUGUGGACGCCAGUCUGCAUGGAGCCGACCUUGAAAUACCACCCUUUAAUGUUUGAUGUUCUAACGUGGGCCCCUUACCGGGGUUGCGGACAGUGUCUGGUGGGUAGUUUGACUGGGGCGGUCUCCUCCUAAAGAGUAACGGAGGAGCACGAAGGUUGGCUAAUCCUGGUCGGACAUCAGGAGGUUAGUGCAAUGGCAUAAGCCAGCUUGACUGCGAGCGUGACGGCGCGAGCAGGUGCGAAAGCAGGUCAUAGUGAUCCGGUGGUUCUGAAUGGAAGGGCCAUCGCUCAACGGAUAAAAGGUACUCCGGGGAUAACAGGCUGAUACCGCCCAAGAGUUCAUAUCGACGGCGGUGUUUGGCACCUCGAUGUCGGCUCAUCACAUCCUGGGGCUGAAGUAGGUCCCAAGGGUAUGGCUGUUCGCCAUUUAAAGUGGUACGCGAGCUGGGUUUAGAACGUCGUGAGACAGUUCGGUCCCUAUCUGCCGUGGGCGCUGGAGAACUGAGGGGGGCUGCUCCUAGUACGAGAGGACCGGAGUGGACGCAUCACUGGUGUUCGGGUUGUCAUGCCAAUGGCACUGCCCGGUAGCUAAAUGCGGAAGAGAUAAGUGCUGAAAGCAUCUAAGCACGAAACUUGCCCCGAGAUGAGUUCUCCCUGACUCCUUGAGAGUCCUGAAGGAACGUUGAAGACGACGACGUUGAUAGGCCGGGUGUGUAAGCGCAGCGAUGCGUUGAGCUAACCGGUACUAAUGAACCGUGAGGCUUAACCUU
rnacentral:rRNA from 1 species